ACAGCGGUAACUUGGUUGGGUGUUCUUCUCUGCUGUGUAGGCUUUGUUCUUUUGCUCUUUGCAGUAAAUGUUGCUGCUGCUGACUGUUGGGUCCCAGCCGUCUUUAAAAGCUAUUACACUCACGGUGAAGGUCUGUGGUUUCACUCCUGAAAUCAAGCGAGUGUACGAACCCACCGGAAGGAAGAAACUCCAGACUCCGAAGGAACAAACUCUGGACACACCAAAUGUAAGAAUUGUAACACUCACCGCGACGGUCCGUGGCGUCCACCCUCGCAGCUUCUUUCUUGAAGUCGCCGAGACCAAGAGCGCACCGAAAGGAACCAAUUGUGGACACAUCCGUUUUGUUAAUUUCCCUUGGAAAAGUAUUGAUGAUCAAGUGAUGCUAGCAGCAACAGUGUUAAAGGCUUUAACGCUUUUAAAGGUGAGACUUUUGGGAGUUGAUUAGGUCAUGAGGAUGGAGCCUGGUGAAUGGGAUCAGUGAAAGAGGCCUGAUGUGAGGGUGACACAGGCUUAAACUGAGACAAUCCAGCAUGGAACACUUGCAGGAAGUACUAGGAAAGUGCAUUUUCUUUCCAUGAGGGUUGCCAAACUGGAAGCAUGUUAGCUAAAGCUACCUGUAGUCAUUUUGUGGCCACAUUGGGUGAGAUUGUCUGAGAAAGCAAACCAACUGAAGCAGAGCAGAGAAGAUACUCUACCAACCUAGUUGGAGCCCUGGUUCCAGCCUUGCCUGAAGCUAAAUGCACCUCUAUGCUUCCUUUUUACUGACCCAAUAAAUUUCCCUAUUUGUUUAAACAA
ensembl:lncRNA LINC02096 long intergenic non-protein coding RNA 2096